CACCGCGGUUAGACGAGCAGGCCCAAGUUGAUAGUUCACGGCGCAAAGGGUGGUUAGGGAAAACAAAGACUAAAGUCGAACUAACUCAUUACUGUGAUAAGCCCAUAUGAUAAAAUGAAGCCCGCCCACGAAAGUGACUUUAUUAACCCUGAACCCACGAAAGCUAAGAAA
rnacentral:rRNA from 1 species